CUUUUAUCAAAACAAAGCAUGUUUAGUGCUCUCUGUCUCACUGUCUUUUAGAUGCCAGACCUUAGAUUUUAUGAUGACUCCUCAACCGUUUAGAUCUCGGUUAUCUCAGAGGGAUCAUCAGCUUUUUAAGAAAAUUUUGAGAGAAAAGCAAGUGAAGAAAAGAGUAGUCAGUGCCCAACAUCACGGAUCUCUCACUGAACACACCAUGCCUGGUAUUCUCUCACAGUGAUGUCACCAUUUCUACCUGCCAUGUAUCGGCGAAGGUUGGGACUCGACUGGUGUUUGAUCACUAUGGGAAAAUCAUCCAGAAAACCCCCUACCCCCACCCCAGAGGGAUGACAGUCAGUGUGAAGCAGUUAUUUUCUACGCUACCUGUGCACCAUAAAGAAUUUCAAAGGAAUAUUAAGAAGCCUCCAAUUUACAGUCUAAAACAUGUACGCGGUGGCCCUGAGCUGUUGUGUAAAUGGACUCACUGCCCUGAGGCCACCAUGCUGCAAGGAAGCCCAAGCUAACCCUAGGAUGUGCCCUGAGACGACAUGAAGACGCAUCCCCAGCCAGCCUUCCACUACCCCAUCCUUCACUGCCCCAUUCUCACCCCCGCCCACCUCCUUACUCCCUCCACCCCUCCACCUGCCUCCAGCCAGAAUUGCACAGCCAACUACUUCCAGAAUCGCUGGUCCAAAGAAAUCACGACAGGCGCUAAGUUUGGGGCAAUCCAUUUAAUGCUACUAAGUUGUGGGAUGGUUUGUUUGAGCAGCCCCAGAUAACAAACAUUCCUUGAGGUCACACGCUAACCAAGCUGUGAUUCGAACACUGCCUCUCAAAUUCACGAGCAAAAGAGGGGGAAUUCUGUUUAAAAUGCCAAAAAGAACUCUUUCUUGCUUUUAUUAUUUUUAAUUUAUGUAUAAUAAUUGUAUGUUUAUAUAAUAAUUGUAAUAAUUUACGGGAUACAGGUGAUAUUUCAAUAUAUGUAUACAAUGUGUAAUGAUCACAUCAGGGUGAUUAGCGGAUUCAUUUCCUCAGUUAUCAUUUCUUUGUGUUGGGAACAUUCAAAAUCUGCUCUUCUACCUAUUUGAAUAUAGAAAAUAAAUUGUUUUGUUUUGUUUUUGAG
rnacentral:lncRNA from 1 species